AAUUAUGAAUUUUACUAAAGUUUUAGGAAUAUUUUUUCUUAGUGUAAUUUUUAUAACAAAUAAUGUUGAAGGUGUUGAUGAGGUUAUAAAAGUAUCUUGCCAAAAAAAAUGUAGAAUAUGGUGUGUCUUUGAUUUUUGCUAUCAAAGUUGUUUGAAGAAUUAUUGUCAUGAACAUCCUCCAAUUUCUUCUAAAACAUUAAAUUGUCGACUUACUUGUUCAACUCAUCGUUGCUUCGAAUUUAAAAAAGAUGGGAAGCUAAGGGAAAAUUGCUUGAAUGAAUGUUCAACAAAAUAUUGCUCUCAAUAUUAAUUCCAUAUAAUGUUAUGUUACUUAAGUUUUUAAUGAAAUUAAUACUUUUUUGAUAA